rnacentral:piRNA from 1 species
ACAGGGGGAUCUGAAGAGAGUGGUU